rnacentral:lncRNA from 1 species
GGUAAUGAAGGGCAAACUCCAUAAAAGUUGGUUUUCCUUCUUUCCGAAAAAGAUAUAUCCAAAAGAGUUUACUAAAAUGUUAGCUCCGGUGAAGAAGUAUGCCAAUACUGGCUAUGAACACUUGUAACGACCCCUCAAAGGGUACUACUGGGAAGAAGAGGGGGAGAAGCAAGGAGCGAAAGGACUCAUCCCACUAGAGCA